rnacentral:rRNA from 1 species
UACGUAGGUGGCGAGCGUUGUCCGGAUUUACUGGGCGUAAAGGGAGCGUAGGCGGACUUUUAAGUGAGAUGUGAAAUACUCGGGCUCAACUUGAGUGCUGCAUUUCAAACUGGAAGUCUAGAGUGCAGGAGAGGUGAAUGGAAUUCCUAGUGUAGCGGUGAAAUGCGUAGAGAUUAGGAAGAACACCAGUGGCGAAGGCGAUUCUCUGGACUGUAACUGACGCUGAGGCUCGAAAGCGUGGGGAGCAAACAGG